AUUGAACGCUGGCGGCAGGCCUAACACAUGCAAGUCGAACGAGUGGCGGACGGGUGAGUAAUGUCUGGGAAACUGCCUGAUGGAGGGGGAUAACUACUGGAAACGGUAGCUAAUACCGCAUACCAUCAGAGCUUCCCAGAUGGGAUUAGCUUGUUGGUGGGGUAACGGAGAACCAAGGCGACGAUCCCUAGCUGGUCUGCGAGGAUGACCAGCGACAGUGGAACUGAGAAACGGUCCAGACUCCUAGGGGAGGCAGAAGGGGGGAAUAUUGAACAAUGGGCGAAAGCCUGAUGCAGCCAGGCCGCGGGUAUGAAGAAGGCCUUCGGGUUGUAAAGUACGUUCAGCGGGGAGGCGUUACCCGCAGAAGAAGAACCGGCUAACUCCGUGCCAGCAGCCGCGGUAAUUC
rnacentral:rRNA from 1 species